AAGAAAAUAAAUAAUACUAUCCUUUCUGGAUUAGACUCAGUAGCUUCUUUCAGUUGAAAAUGAGGAGUGGCUUCAUCCCAUUUAUCUUUUCUUUUUUUUUUUUUUAAGAUUUAUUUAUUAUAUGUAAGUGUAGCUGUCUUCAGACACUCCAGAAGAUGGAGUCAGAUCUCAUUACGGAUGGUUGUGAGCCACCAUGUGGUUGCUGGGAUUUGAACUCCAGACCUUCAGAAAGCCACCAUCAGAAGAGCAGUUGGGUGCUCUUACCUACUGAGCCAUCUCACCAGCCCCACCAUUUAUCUUUUCAAGUACUAGACUCCAAUAAUUGAGUAAAUGAGGGUGACGUGUGUAAAAGUGUUAUGUUAUCAAAAUCCCUUUGCAUAAAAAUACAAAAUUGAGGGCUGGAGAGAUGGCUUAGCAGUUAAAAAGCUGCUUUUCCAGAGAACCCCGGUUCAAUUUCCAGGGCCCACAGUGAAGUUCACCAACACCUGUAACUCCAUUUCCAGAUCAUCUUCUGGACUUUUCAGGCACCAGGCACACACAUAGGUAUACAAACAUGCACAAUAUUCAGACACAUAAGAUAUUUAAUUUUUAUUUUUUUAAAAACAAAGUUGAAACUAUCAGGAAUCACAUAACGUAGGUCAUAAAUGUCAGACACUAAGUGUGACAGCUCUUCCUACGACCCCACGUGCUCUGGGCUUGUCAAUAAAAAAGACUGAUCUUCCAAGAAACUAUCUGCUUUCUAACUAUAUGACAUGGAGGGUUCUCAGUCCAUAGAUGACAAUUCAAAACAAGUCUCUUUAGCUAACUGACUAAAAAGACCAAAGAACUGCUGUUUUUCCCUAAAUGAUAAUGCCAAGAGUACCUCAGUUUUGUCUCUGAAGACCUGUGUCAAAGUCUGAAAAGACAGAAAGAAUGCACAGGCACUCUUCCACCCAACUUGUUUGUUUCAAUGCUUGACACCCCACAAAUUGUCCUUUUUAACAAAAGAGGCUCCACUUAGUGAAGUUCAAUUCACAACCUGGUUCCAUUGUUUUUUUCUGGUUUGUUUGUGUUUUUUCUUGUAACAUUUUUCUACCCCAAACUGAUUAGUAUCUGUGAUUAAUGUUUCUUUGAAGGAAGAAAAUAAUAGAAAAGGUGUUUGUGGAGUACAUGAGUAAUGCCAGCAUUCCAUUGGUAGAGUCAGGAAGAUCAGAAGCUCAAGGUUAUACUCAGCUAUAUAUAAGUUUGUGACCAGUCUGAACUACAGGGGACAUUGCAUCAAAAGAAAAGAAAAAGAAAAAACUGAUAUAUAUUUUUUUUAAUUUCUUGAGACAGGUUUCACUCACUAUGCAGUUCUAGCUGGCCUAGAACUCAAGGGUCCAUCAGCUUGGCUUCUGCCUCUUUGAGAGCUAGGAUCAAAUGUGUGUCCUACCAUGCCUGGCAAAGACUCUGUAAGUCAAUUUAUUUCCUUGCCUAAUUAAAUUAAUUUUGGCCUGGUACUUAAUAGUGAAUUAAGGACCUUUUUAGAGUCAUUUUGUCUAUCCAAUAAUCAAAAUCUCGUUCUUUAUUUGGUCUAUGGUUCCCAAAUGUUAAUUCAGAAGAGACCCAGGAAGCUGGAGAGAUGGCUCAGAGGUUAAGAACACUGGCUGCUCUUCCAGAGGACCCUGGUUCAGUUCCCAGCACCCACAUGGCAGUUCACAACUGUCUGUAACUUCAGUUCCAGAAGAUCUAAUACCAUCUCACAGACAUACAUGUAAGCAAAAUACAAAUACACAUUAAAAAAAAAUUAUCUGAAGAGACCCAGAACAUGAGUAGCUGAGUUCAUUUAAUAAAAUGACUUUAUUUGCUUAGAUUUGUGCUACAAUAAUGCUUUUCCUGCCUAAGAAAGUCUUGAGAUAUCCUCUUCGAGAAAUGUUGGAUUUUGCUGUGUCAAAGACAUACUUUUUGUUUGUUUGUUUUGUUUUGUUUUUUGAGACAGAGACAUACUUUUUAAACAAUAUAAAUUUUCUAAUUUAUGCAGCUUCAGAAAAACAUUAAGUUUUUAUAUCAAAUCUGCAAGAAUAAAGGUCAGUUGUAUUGCCAUAAUGUUUUUUUCUUUCCUUUGAUGUCUAAACUAUUGUUGACCUCACUAUUUUCCUUCAGCCUUUUCCUUCCUGGGCCAGCCAGUGCUGCUAGGGAAUGGAUUCCUGUCUGCUCUUGUAGCCACUGCUGCCUUGUUGAGCAACUCCUGUCCUGGGUAGCCUGUAUCAUUGGCUCUUCUUCCUUUCCUAGCAGAAAAGGAGAUUCCUCAACUAGCAAUGGAAUGUCCCUUAUUAUCUUUUUCUGUUCUCCACCUAUCAAAUGUGGAAUCUCCUACCUUUCUUUCUUCAAAUUUUUUACUUCAAAUCUGCCUUUAAGUAGUCAGCCUUUUAUUUCCAAAAAUGUAAACCAGAUGAGAUGGCACAUGCCUGUAGUAUUAGUUCUUAGGGGAAAUAGAGAUUAAAAGUUGAGGGUCCUGAUUGGCUACAUAGUGGGCUAGAACUAGCCUGGAUUUUGUUAGAAUUUGCCCUGCAGCCUUAGGCGAAAGGAGCUCUUGAGCUCUAGAGGCCUUGUAACAUCCCAGGCUGUAAUUCUCAGGCAUCCUAAAGCUCAUUUUAAGCUAUGUGAUAAGAAACAGGGGAAAGACACGUAUAUUUAUACAACUUUAAUCCCAGCACUCAAGUGGCAGAAGCCGGCAGAUCUCUUAUCAUCUGGUAUACAGAGAAAGUUCCAGACAGAGCAGCAUAGUGGACUGACUGUCUGUGUGUGUGUGUCUCUCUCUCUC
rnacentral:lncRNA from 1 species